rnacentral:rRNA from 1 species
UACGGAGGGUGCAAGCGUUAUCCGGAUUCACUGGGUUUAAAGGGUGCGUAGGUGGGCAUUUAAGUCAGUGGUGAAAUCUCCGGGCUUAACCCGGAAACUGCCAUUGAUACUAUUUGUCUUGAAUAUUGUGGAGGUAAGCGGAAUAUGUCAUGUAGCGGUGAAAUGCUUAGAUAUGACAUAGAACACCCAUUGCGAAGGCAGCUUACUACGCAAAUAUUGACACUGAGGCACGAAAGCGUGGGGAUCAAACAGG